UACGGAAGGCAGCAGUGAGGAAUAUUGGUCAAUGGACGAGAGUCUGAACCAGCCAAGUAGCGUGCAGGAUGACGGCCCUAUGGGUUGUAAACUGCUUUUAUACAGGGAUAAAGUAGGGAACGUGUUCCCUUUUGCAGGUACUGUAUGAAUAAGGACCGGCUAAUUCCGUGCCAGCAGCCGCGGUAAU
rnacentral:rRNA from 1 species